GCUUGAAUUUAAAUUGAGUUUUAAAUAGUAGCUAGAGGAAUUAUGCACGUGGGCGAAUAAAUGAGAUAAGAAAUUUUUAGAGUUUAAUAGGAGGCGAUAUUAUUUUCUCGAGUCUUAUAAAUUCUCUUAUUGAGAAACCUAUCUUCGCCCUAUAUUUUUAUUAAAAUGUCUAUGUGAUAUAAAUAUUUUACUUGGUAGAAUAUUCACAUAUGAUUUAUUGAUGCAUUGUUAUUAUGAUAUUAGUUAUAUCAUAAUUGAGAAAAAAUUUCCUCACAUGAAUAAAUAUAUUUUCCCACAUACUAAAUAAGGUUAUAAUUAUUCAAGUAUAUAUAUAUAUAUAGAUAGAUAGAUAUAUAUAUAUAUAUAUAUAUAUAUAUAUAUAUAGAGAUAGAUGCAUCUCUCUUUCUCUCUCACUCUCUCACCCUCACGCAACACUCCCUCCCCACUCUCCCACAUUAUUCUUCUCUUUCCCAUAAUCAACACUCCCUCCCCACUCUCCCACAUUAUUCUUCUCUUUCCCAUAAUUGAAGAUCACAUGCACCUAAAAGGCUAAUCUACUAGCCAACACAUUCCUACACACUUUAAGCUCACAAGCACAUGCACACCUCUCUCUCAUUUCCCUCCCUCUCUUCUUCUUCUUUAUUUUCGCAGCCCCUCCCCUCUUCACUUCACCUUACUUUCUUUUUUUUGUUCCACCAAAUAUAGUAAGAACUAAGGUUUCUUAAAGUGUUCAUCUUCAAGCUCAAGCUCCAAGCAUACUACGCAUCAUCCUCUACUCCACCUCCAUUGAUCUUGUUGGUUCGAGUGACGGCUGGCGUUAGUACGACUCUGAGCGUUACGUCAUCGACCCCGGAGACAGGUCUGGCUUGGCGCGAGGAUGGGUGAAAGCUGUUGGAAUUGUCAGUUGGCUGUGUCUUUCCUAUGUCUCAUAUUUAUCUUUAUAAGCUUUGACUCUAUAAGAAUUUGAACUCCCUGCUAUAUGUCUUCACACAUAUAGUAACGCAUCUCGCUGCAUAACUCUGAUGAAACUCUUUAUUUAAUUUGCUUAUGUCUGUAAUAUCCCUUAAGGGAAAUACUUCUCAGACCCUUGCUAAGUUUCAAUGGCUUAAUCAUGUUUACCCAA